CAGCAGCCGCGGUAAUACGUAGGGUGCAAGCGUUAUCCGGAAUUAUUUGGCGUAAAGAGCUCGUAGGCGGUUUGUCGCGUCUGCUGUGAAAACUGGAGGCUCAACCUCCAGCCUGCAGUGGGUACGGGCAGACUAGAGUGCGGUAGGGGAGAUUGGAAUUCCUGGUGUAGCGGUGGAAUGCGCAGAUAUCAGGAGGAACACCGAUGGCGAAGGCAGAUCUCUGGGCCGUAACUGACGCUGAGGAGCGAAAGCAUGGGGAGCGAACAGGAUUAGAGACCCCAGUAGUCCCUGUCUCUUAUAC
rnacentral:rRNA from 1 species